AAGGUGCGUGACCACCUCCACCACGGCACCGAGCCAUCUCCACCUGCUCCUUCAUCCUCCUCCUUUUAAUCCCCACCUCGAGAUCCCGCAGAAAUCCUAGCCCUUCUCCUCUUGUGCCGCCGCCACAUCCACUCUCUUCCCCUCCACCUUCCUUACCCCACUGCCACCAUCGUCCUCGUCAUGGCACCACCACUACAGACCCUCCCCCGCCGUUCUGAGGGCAUCCGCAGAUGCGCCUCAUCGUUCUCUACCUCCUGGUGCGCGGAAUCGUCCCGAGAGGCCCCGAGUUGAGCGCAAGGUCUCCGAUUCUUCACGCCGGGCUUCAUGCUUCUUCUCCGAUUCCGGCCGCCCUCGACCUCCUCCGGCCAAACCGAGCACAACUUCGGUUUCCCCGCGUAUCAGCGCAUCCCCGACACCAACUCGCUCGUCCCGGUUGACCCAAAAUCUCCAGAUCCGUGCUCAUCUGCAAGCUCCGUCAUCGCUGCACAAGUUCGUCCUCGACACAGUUUGUUCAAGUUGCACCGCGCCCUUCAAUUGACGUGAUCGAACUCGUAACACAUUGAUCCAGCGCUUGAUGGGCCUUGGACCCAGAUCCUCCGACGAAGCCCACCACCCUAUGCGUGCAGCUUCUAUCUGUCGCCGCUUGCAGGCCAUGUCCUGGCCCAGAUCUUCCCGAUGCAGAACCAAGCCAGAUUGGCCCAUCACCCCUCUCUGGUUAUUCCUCGUCCUUUUUUUUACAGAAAAUAUUUUAAACUUGCAAAAUUCAUAUCUUCCAAAAUAUAACUCGAAAUAAAACGUUUUAUAUAUGAAAAAUGAUCAGAAAAACAUGAGGAAUAUGGAUAUGCCAUCCAUUCAUCUGUUUGCAUCUCGCAUCAUGUCAUGACGUGUAGUUUGUGUAUGUUUCACCUCACAUGUAUGCGGAGUAUUUCGGAACACCGACUAGGUUUUCCCCGCUCCGUUUAAUAUUGAAGUAGCUCACCUUUGCCAUGUUAUGCCAUGCUAAUCAACAAUUAAUUUUUCCGGUAGAAAUGCAAAUCCAACCUUAAUUGUUUGUCUGGGGUUUCGACUCCGCUUAAAUUGGAUAAGUUGCAUCGCAUCAUCGUUGCCAUGUCAUGCAUACCAUCUUGAUCAUGCUAGAUCUUAUUUAUCCUUAGUGGUAAGACUUGCAUACGUUGUGUGUUCCAGCAUUUGCUUCUUCCCGGAUAGGAUCGCGAAGUGGUGUGGUGAGAUACGACAAGUUCUCCGGAUAUUCCUCGGCGAGCUUUAACAGACAAGCAUUUUCCCUUAUACUCUUGUCCCUGCAGGAGUCGCUCACCUAUUUUAUUUUUGUCUUCUCUCUCAUGCUAUCAUUAAGUUGCGUUCUUGUCACGUGUCCCUUCCACUUGUUACCUCAAGUAGCCUAUAUUGACUCCACCAACCACCUACAGCUAUUGUUUGGUUAUCGGGUCUGCCUUGCGAGUCGUAGUGCAUGCUAGUGUUGUUUUAUCUCGUUACCGUUGUUGUUAUCUUAUCGGGAUAUGUUGGGUUGUUGGGAGGUUAUCACAUGCUAUAUCAGUUGUUGGAGAUACACAUGCUUUACUUAUUUGUUAACAACUAAAAUUGUAAGCAGAGGCAUCGGAACUUUGACUUGCUAAUGUCCCCUAGGACCCAAGUUCUUGUUAUCUGUUCCGAGUUUGAGCGCUCUACCCGUACGUGGGGGAGUGGGACCCCCACCACCCACUACCUUUCCUCGAGUCUGUUUAUUGGGAGCCACAACCUUGGUUUUAUUUGCUCAUAUGCACGAUAUGCACGAUUUACUUCCUGUUGCCUUCGGGUGUUUAUAUUCUGUAUUGUACUCAUAACGCGGGACUCCUUAUCCUUGGCCGGUCGUUAGUGCCCGCCUUGGAAGCCGUCGCAAACCUCUGGGUCCGUAUCGGAGUACGGCCGAACUUCGUCACGGGUAGCUUAGUUGGGUGGCUCCCAUUAAACUUUCUCUUGCAUUGGGAACGGUAUUGAUGUGAGACUCCACCUGUAGUAAGUGGGUUCGAGCAUGCGUAUGGUUACAUUUGGGCAACCCCUGCAGGGUGUACAUCUUAUCGAUAAGUCGUGUCUGCGGUUAUGGACGACUUGGAAUUGUAUACCUUGAUCAUAGAACAACUUACACCGUUAUCUUGUUGCUAAUAAUCUGAUAAUAACUUGCGUAGUAAUAUAGCCUUACUACAACCGUUACCUAAUAAAACUUGUCCACCAUUGAGUGCCUUUUACAUCGCCUCUUCGCAAUUGUUGGAGGGGAUAUGUGUAAUCGGCUGGGUUAUGUUUGUGUAGUAUUUUAUCUGUUACCUUAUGCGCUCUCUGACCUUCUCUGAUUAGACGAAUGUUGUAGAGUGUCUCUACAGGUUUUUAGUGCUUGCGCUGCCGCUUAAUGAUACGUCUCCGACGUAUCGAUAAUUUCUUAUGUUCCAUGCCACAUUAUUGAUGAUAUCUACAUGUUUUAUGCAUACUUUAUGUAAUAUUUAUGCAUUUUCCGGAACUAACCUAUUGACGAGAUGCCGAAGUGCCAGUUCCUGUUUUCUGCUGUUUUUGGUUUCAGAAAUCCUAGUAAGGAAAUAUUCUCGGAAUUGGACGAAAUCAACGCCCAACAUCUUAGAAAUCCCACGAAGCUUCCAGAACACCCGAGAGCCACCUGAGGAGGGCCCUGUGGGCCCCAGAUGAUAGGGUGGCGCGGCCCAGGCCUUGGUCGCGCCCCCCUAGUGUGUCAUCGCCUCGUCGACCCUCCGACUCCGCCUCUUCUCCUAUUUAAAGGUCCCUGACCUAAAUCUUCGAUACGAAAAAACCACGGUACGAGAAACCUUCCAGAGCCGCCGCCAUCGCGAAGCCAAGAUCUGGGGGACAGGAGUCUCUGUUCCGACACGCCACCGGGACGGGGAAGUGCCCCCGGAAGGCUUCUCCAUCAUCUCCACCGCCAUCUUCAUCACCGCUGCUGUCUCCCAUGAGGAGGGAGUAGUUCUCCAUCGAGGCUAAGGGUUGUACCGGUAGCUAUGUGGUUAAUCUCUCUCCCUAUGUACUUCAAUACAAUGAUCUCAUGAGCUGCCCUACAUGAUUGAGAUUCAUAUGAGUUUUGUAUCACUAUUCAUCUAUGUGCUACUCUAGUGAUGUUAUUAAAUUACUCUAUUCCUCC